UGAGACUGUCCAGGCAGCCAGGUUAGGCCAGGAGGACCAUGUGAAUGGGGCCAGAGGGCUCCCGGGCUGGGCAGGGACCAUGGGCUGUGGCUGCAGCUCACACCCGGAAGAUGACUGGAUGGAAAACAUCGAUGUGUGUGAGAACUGCCAUUAUCCCAUAGUCCCACUGGACGGCAAGGGAACGCUGCUCAUCCGAAAUGGCUCUGAGGUGCGGGACCCACUGGUUACCUACGAAGGCUCCAAUCCGCCGGCUUCCCCACUGCAAGACAACCUGGUUAUCGCUCUGCACAGCUAUGAGCCCUCUCACGACGGAGAUCUGGGCUUUGAGAAGGGGGAACAGCUCCGCAUCCUGGAGCAGUGAGUCCCUCUCCACCUUGCUCUGGCGGAGUCCGUGAGGGAGCGGCGAUCUCCGCGACCCGCAGCCCUCCUGCGGCCCUUGACCAGCUCGGGGUGGCCGCCCUUGGGACAAAAUUCGAGGCUCAGUAUUGCUGAGCCAGGGUUGAGGGAGGCUGGCUUAAGGGGUGGAGGGGUCUUUGAGGGAGGGUCUCAGGUCGACGGCUGAGCGAGCCACACUGACCCACCUCCGUGGCGCAGGAGCGGCGAGUGGUGGAAGGCGCAGUCCCUGACCACGGGCCAGGAAGGCUUCAUCCCCUUCAAUUUUGUGGCCAAAGCGAACAGCCUGGAGCCCGAACCGUAAGUGGGGACCCGUCGUGGGGGUGG
rnacentral:sRNA from 1 species